GUUUUUAGUGAUAAGUUCUCAAUAUUCUCAACAGAAAUUUUACUGCUUUCUUUCCUCACUUCCCAUGGCAAGUAGAAAUAUUAUAACAUGAAAUUCCUGCCCUGAUGAAGGUAAGAUUUUAACAAGCAGACCUGUUAAACUGACACUGCAGAGGAUAUGUCAAUGCAAAGAUGACUUUUGAGGAGCUAUUCACAAGAGCAUGUAAAUUUUAUCCUAUCUCUUACUCCAGAUAGGACAGACAAAGCCUCACCUGUGUAGCCAGUGAAGGCAGGAUUCAGCUCUGCUGCCUUUGUAUUGCAGCUCCUUUGCAGCAUUAUUUGAGAGGAACUAUCAGCCUACAUGUCCACUGAGUGCUUGAGUCAUAUCAGAAGAUAAAUGCAAUUCAAUGUGACAGACUUCUUUGUUUCUAGAGCUACAAACAUUUCAGGUACUGAGGAAUCUUGUUCUUUCUGCUGCAACUACUUCACCUUGUGUUGCCUGUGUGUGAAUCAACAGGACAGUUUGAAUUCAUCAUUGGAUGCACCAGCUUCUGCUUCCUUAGUGCCUCAUUGCUGCUUUUUUUUUUUUUUGUCUUCCAUGUGAUUUUGAGCCUUGGAUUUUACUCUUUUUUUCUUUCCAUUGUCACUUUGCAUGCUGUGUCCCUAAAUGACAUUUUGAUGAAAAUACACAUAUUUUGCAGGCAUUUGUACCCAUUAGCCAGUGUUGCUGUUCACUUUCCUAUCUGCUAUACAAAUUCACACUAAAUGCUCUUAAAACAUUUUUUCUUUUUUGCUACGCUUUUCAUCCACUGUCCGAGAUUUGUGUCAUUUCGCAAGGUGUGGACUAACACAAUAUGUUGUCAUCGUAAUCUAAUAUUUCGACAAUCACAACACAAGUGUAGCCUGCUUGUGUGCCAGCAAGCUGUGCACAGCUGAGUUAGAAGCCUUUUUUUGUCAGUGUUAUCCAGGAUAAUGCCUUCUCCUCACCUUCAAGCUGGUUUUGUAGAUUCGUGUUGUCUGCUCAUUAGAGGGUGGCAGCAUUUUCCUCUGCAUUUGGAAAUCGGCUCUCACUCCUUCCAAAUUAACAUUAUUGUCUGGAU
rnacentral:lncRNA from 1 species